ensembl:lncRNA
ACUCCCCUAUGGUAGGACUGUUACUGCACUGGACCAUGAAUCAUCAGAUAAGGAGCAUGCCUCUAUGGGGAAUAGGGGCGGAGAGAUGAACAACCUUGCUGUCCAUCCCUGCGACUGCGUGUUUUUGAAGUAAUAAGAAGAAAAGCAAAACAGUUUGUGUCCACAGACAUGGCACCAAAACUCCAGUGUUUCACUGUGGGGCCGACCGGAUAUGCCGCACUGUAGACCAGCAUUUCACUGUGGGGCUGACCGGAUAUGCUGCACUGUAGACCAACGUCACCCUAACUAGCAAAUACAUGUUGCAAAUGCAUUUUGGAUCGUCUAAUUUGAAAAUGGGAUCACAAGAGAAGUUUUGUAUAAAACCAACUGUGCUUAGUCCACAGAACUGGGGUAAUGUGAAUAAUCUCAGAUAAAUAAACAAGGCAGAUUCUGUUUGCUGCUUACUGACAGAAACAUUGAUUUGUCUUCUGGUUCCCUUGGAAACCUAGAGUGGACAUAAUCAGUCAAAAAAUCGGAUUGGGGUAGAGUAUCAAUGAUGAUGUUCUUUUAUUACACAAAAGCUAACACAAUGAAUUGCCUGACCUGUUCUUGAUGUUUUCUUGACCUUCAAAAUACAUGCACAUGUUAAUUUAGCAGACACAUAUCCAGACCAACUUAGUACUGAGGGCGUACAUCUCAAAGGAUUUAAUUGUGGCCAGUUGAAGUAAUCGAACCUACAACACAUGAUUUACCAGUUUAGCAACCAAAAAUCUAUCCAGUGCAUUUCAAACCAUACAUCAUUUAAAUGUAAAAUUAUUGCAGGUCUGUAAUAAACUUUAACCGAC